rnacentral:rRNA from 1 species
GAUGAACGCUGGCGGCGUGCCUAAUACAUGCAAGUCGAGCGAACAGACGAGGAGCUUGCUCCUCUGACGUUAGCGGCGGACGGGUGAGUAACACGUGGAUAACCUACCUAUAAGACUGGGAUAACUUCGGGAAACCGGAGCUAAUACCGGAUAAUAUAUUGAACCGCAUGGUUCAAUAGUGAAAGACGGUUUUGCUGUCACUUAUAGAUGGAUCCGCGCCGCAUUAGCUAGUUGGUAAGGUAACGGCUUACCAAGGCAACGAUGCGUAGCCGACCUGAGAGGGUGAUCGGCCACACUGGAACUGAGACACGGUCCAGACUCCUACGGGAGGCAGCAGUAGGGAAUCUUCCGCAAUGGGCGAAAGCCCGACGGAGCAACGCCGCGUGAGUGAUGAAGGUCUUCGGAUCGUAAAACUCUGUUAUUAGGGAAGAACAAAUGUGUAAGUAACUAUGCACGUCUUGACGGUACCUAAUCAGAAAGCCACGGCUAACUACGU